rnacentral:lncRNA from 1 species
GCUUUUUUUGUUUUAGUAGAGAGGAGGUUUCACCGUGUUAGCCAGGAUGGUCUCAAUCUCCUGACCUCGUGAUCCGCCCGCCUCGGCCUCUCAAAGUGCUGGGAUUACACGCGUGAGCCACCGCGCCUGGCCUGAAGAAAGUUAAUCAUUAAAGAAGCAACCCAUGGCAAAACUAGUUAUUUUCUUAAAACAGUAGGAAGAAGAAAAGCUUUUUGAAUGAAUCACUUCUCAUCUUCUCCGAAGUUGGAAGCAUCAAGAAUCUAAAUAAGCAUUUAUGAUGGCUGGCAUGAAUAUACAGGUGAAGACAGAACAAGAAAACAAACCAAGAAUUUCCCCUCACCAGCCACCAGCUCUGCCAGCAACUUGAUCUUAGACUUCCCAGCCUCCGUAACGCCUCUGCUUAUAAUCUGUCAUGGAUUGGAAAACUAGAAAAAACAGUUUACAGAGUAUAACAAACUUUGGAGGAGUUAAUCGACUCUAAGUAAAAGAGUAUCUAGCACGGCUGUGGAACAAAGGAGAGACUCACAAACUGUUGAAAGAAUAAAUGAAUGAAUGAAUUCUGUUCAUGAGCUUUAAUAAAACAGCUCUGAGUAGUAACAGUGGAUCAAAUUUAGGCUUCUUGAUGCAGGCAUGGUGUAGAUUACUACUUCUGUAUUGUCCCAGGAGCUCAGCACAUUCCUGCAGAGAUGAUAGGAGCUCAUCUGAUACUUGUCAGCUUUGAAUAAACUCCAGUCCCCAAGAGAGAGAAUGAGAAUCACCGGAAUACGAAACUUCCCUGUUGGACUUCCCAACAUUCUUGAAUGCACCAAGAUAGCCUCUUGCUGUGAGAUUAAUAAAUGAAUAAAUGCCUCCAUAUUUUUCAAA